rnacentral:rRNA from 1 species
UCAAGUGUAUAAGGGUUGACGGUGGAUGCCUUGGCUGAUGGCUGCGAUGAAGGACGCGGUAAGCUGCGAAAAGCUUCGGGGAGUUGCACGCGAACAUUGAUCCGGAGAUGUCCGAAUGGGGGAACCCUCCUUGGUGAAAGCCAAGGAAUCCUUCAGCUGAAUACAUAGGCUGGAGGAGGCGAACGUGGGGAAGUGAACCAUCUCAGUACCCACAGGAAAAGAAAACAAUAGUGAUUCCGGGAGUAGCGGCGAGCGAAACCGGAAGAGCCCAAACCAAUUACGUGUAAGCGGCAGGCGUUGCGUAGUUGGGGUCGUGGGACCUAUCUGUAGGAGCUGCCCUCCUGCACAGAGUUACAAAGCUGACAGUUAGCGGAACGGUUUGGAAAAGCCGGCCAUAGAGGGUGAUAGCCCCUUAUGCGAAAGCUGCUCAGCCUCUGGAUGGAGUUCCCAAGUAUGUCGGGGCACGAGAAACCUUGACAGAAUUUGCCGCGACCAUGCGGUAAGGCUAAAUAAGUCCAUCAGACCGAUAGUGAACCAGUACCGUGAGGGAAAGGCGAAAAGAACCCCGAUGAGGGGAGUGAAAUAGAACCUGAAACCGUAUGCGUACAAGCAGUGGGAGCACCCUCGUGGUGUGACUGCGUACCUUUUGUAUAAUGGGUCAGCGACUUAAUCUCAGUGGCAAGCUUAACCGCAUAGGGGAGGCGUAGCGAAAGCGAGUCUUAAUAGGGCGUUUAGUCGCUGGGAUUAGACCCGAAACCGGGCGAUCUAUCCAUGGCCAGGCUGAAGGUGAGGUAAUACUUACUGGAGGGCCGAACCCACGUAUGUUGAAAAAUGCGGGGAUGAGUUGUGGAUCGGAGUGAAAGGCUAAUCAAGCUCGGAGAUAGCUGGUUCUCCUCGAAAGCUAUUUAGGUAGCGCCUCGUGUAUAACUGUUGGGGGUAGAGCACUGUUUCGGCUAGGGGGUCAUCCCGACUUACCAACCCGAUGCAAACUCCGAAUACCAGCAAGUUCGAGCACGGGAGACACACGGCGGGUGAUAAGGUCCGUCGUGAAAAGGGAAACAGCCCAGACCGUCAGCUAAGGUCCCAAAAUCUAUGCUCAGUGGGAAACGAUGUGGAAAGGCCCAGACAGCCAGGAGGUUGGCUUAGAAGCAGCCAUCCUUUAAAGAAAGCGUAAUAGCUCACUGGUCGAGUCGGUCUGCGCGGAAGAUUUACCGGGGCUAAGCAUAGUACCGAAGCUACGGGUUCAUCUUUUAGAUGAGCGGUAGAGGAGCGUUCUGUACGCCUGCGAAGGUGAACUGAGAAGUUUGCUGGAGGUAUCAGAAGUGCGAAUGCUGACAUGAGUAACGAUAAUGGGGGUGAAAAANCCCCACGCCGAAAACCCAAGGUUUCCUGCGCAACGCUAAUCGACGCAGGGUUAGUCGGUACCUAAGGCGAGGCCGAAAGGCGUAGUCGAUGGCAAACAGGUUAAUAUUCCUGUACCGGUGGUAACUGCGAUGGGGUGACGGAGAAGGCUAUGUCAGCCAACUGUUGGAAUAGUUGGUUUAAGCAGGUAGGCAGGUUCUUUAGGCAAAUCCGGAGAAUCAAUGCUGAGAUGUGAUGACGAGUUGUUCCUCGGAACGACGAAGUGAUUAAUGCCAUGCUUCCAAGAAAAACCUCUAAGCUUCAGGUUACCAGUGGCCGUACCCCAAACCGACACAGGUGGGUGGGAUGAGAAUUCUAAGGCGCUUGAGAGAACUCGGCUGAAGGAACUAGGCAAAAUGAUACCGUAACUUCGGGAGAAGGUAUGCCCUUGGUAGGUGAAAGUCUUCGCGACUGGAGCUGACGAGGGUUGCAAUAAAAUGGUGGCUGCGACUGUUUAGCAAAAACAUAGCACUCUGCAAACUCGAAAGAGGACGUAUAGGGUGUGACGCCUGCCCGGUGCUGGAAGGUUAAUUGAUGGGGUUAUCUUCGGAGAAGCUCUUGAUCGAAGCCCCAGUAAACGGCGGCCGUAACUAUAACGGUCCUAAGGUAGCGAAAUUCCUUGUCGGGUAAGUUCCGACCUGCACGAAUGGCGUAACGAUGGCCACACUGUCUCCAGCCGAGACUCAGUGAAAUUGAAAUUGCGGUGAAGAUGCCGUAUACCCGCGGCUAGACGGAAAGACCCCGUGAACCUUUACUAUAGCUUGACACUGGACUUUGAAUCGAUUUGUGUAGGAUAGGUGGGAGACUUAGAAGCGGUGACGCCAGUUCUCGUGGAGUCGUCCUUGAAAUACCACCCUGGUUACGUCGGGGUUCUAACUCUGGCCCGUUAUCCGGGUCGAGGACAGUGUGUGGUGGGUAGUUUGACUGGGGCGGUCUCCUCCCAAAGAGUAACGGAGGAGCACGAAGGUGCACUCAGCAUGGUCGGAAAUCAUGCGUUGCGUGUAAAGGCAGAAGUGCGCUUGACUGCGAGCCCGACGGGGCGAGCAGGGUCGAAAGACGGUCUUAGUGAUCCGGUGGUUCUGUAUGGAAGGGCCAUCGCUCAACGGAUAAAAGGUACUCCGGGGAUAACAGGCUGAUACCGCCCAAGAGUUCACAUCGACGGGGGAGUUUGGCACCUCGAUGUCGGCUCAUCACAUCCUGGGGCUGUAGCCGGUCCCAAGGGUAUGGCUGUUCGCCAUUUAAAGUGGUACGUGAGCUGGGUUUAAAACGUCGUGAGACAGUUUGGUCCCUAUCUGCCGUGGGCGUUGGAAAUUUGAAGGGACCUGCUCCUAGUACGAGAGGACCGGAGUGGACGUAUCUCUGGUGGACCGGUUAUCACGCCAGUGGUAUAGCCGGGUAGCUAAAUACGGAAGAGAUAAACGCUGAAAGCAUCUAAGCGUGAAACUCGCCUUGAGAUGAGAUUUCCCUGGGGGUUUAACCCCCCUAAAGAGUCGUUCGAGACCAGGACGUUGAUAGGACGGAUGUGGAAGCGCAGUAAUGCGUUAAGCUGACCGUUACUAAUUGCUCGUGAGGCUUGAUCCU